UGGAACCGGCGCUAAGAUAGGAGAUUCAGCUUACCGCUAGAAACGAGGCGAUUCAAGUUUACUCCCGAAGCAGACACCAGCUCUCCAUACGCAGUAACAAUAUGGCUUGGGUGGGGCACCACACAGAUUAGAGGAGGCGAGCUACAAUGCGUCAAAAUACCCAAAACGGAUCCAUCUACGGAGUACCGCCAGAGAAAACUCAAUAAUAGCUGUAAUUAUUCAACUUCCUUAAAAAAAACAAGAGCGAGCCAAAAAAGGCACAAUCACAACCUCCCCGCCUCCAAAACACUCACGGGAACCUCAACAACCUUAUCCCGCACGUAAUCCGCAAAACCCUUCCCCAGACAAUCUAGCUUGGUCGAGCUACUCACCCCGCGCCCCAAAAUUCCGUAUAUCACAAAAUGCACCGCCCACAAUUUCGGGAACUCAACCCGCUCGAUAAAGUAUCCAUCAUCGUCUUUGCCCAAUAGCGCCCGCAUCCUCUCUCGUGUCAUGAAGCUGCGGAACCAAUCCCACUGGCCCGCUGACCGCACGAAGAUGCCAAAGUUGAUGUUGGCUCCCUUAUCCCCUGACCGCGCGAGGGCGAUGUCGCCGAGGCGCAUGCGCGUUGUUGGGCCGAGCGUGCUCAGGUCUAUUGGGGAGAUAGUAUCAUAGUUUUUCCGCGUCUCGAGGGGUUCGAAGGCCGGCGGGUGGCCGGCGGGGAUUGGUGAUGAGGUGGCUGUGAAUUCUUGGCCACCAUCACCCCUACCGGGGCGUGAGGGGCUGAGAAUGUUUACAGUUUCCUUGAGGGAAUGUUGUUGGUAGAGAGCUGGGUAGAACGCGAGGUCAAUUUGCGGCAGUUGUUUUUCGUUGUGCAGUUACCUGAGAAGUGCUGCAUGGCAAACUCGCACAUGACCAUCGGUACCGCCAUGACGGUGUUUGCAUCCCCGGCCUGCACGAAUACACGACAAUAUGUUGUGCUCUGAAAUUGACUGGACGGAUUGGCAGCCGGGGUCCCAAGCCUGCAUUCCCAUCACUGUUAGACAAGAUCUAAAUAGUCCGAACUAGACGGUCAGGAGCUGACACUUGAAAUUCCAAAAAGUGGAAUUUAUCCGCAGUAUAACCCCUCUGUGCUAGUCCGAAUCGCAUCUGUUUCUCGAAUAGCUCCCAUUUCUUAUCGGUGCCGUAGCCCGUUGCGUUUACCAGAAGCUGAGAUUCGUAGCCUCCUCGGUAGAAAAUCGCUAAUUUUGUCGUGGGAGGUGGUGUGCCGCCAGUUACACCAGACACUCGCACCCUGUGGAUUUAAUAAGACAUGAAGCUGUAUCCCUAGAGUGGCUGGAGAGGAUGGCAUGUAAAUGUACAUGUACAGUACAUACCGAUCUUUCCCGGCCGCUUCGAUUGAGAUAUUUUGUGUAUACGCCUUGACAUCGCCUACAAGCCAAUACCGUUAGUAUUCUCCGCACAAACAGAUAACAAAACAGAGAGUUUGUAGGAUGUGAGGAUGGUAAGGUCAAUGAGAAAAAAUAACAAGAUAUAUAUAAAAAACCCCCAACUUACUAUUGAGAUAAACGUCGCCCUGCAACUCAUACAAAAACUGACACUUAACCACAUCCGUAUUCACAAGCCCCUUCGUCCCUUCAUGUUUUGUGACCACACAACUUCCCCC
rnacentral:sRNA from 1 species